CUAUGAUACACCCUUAGUUAUUAUCCCCCCUCAAUCUCAGCUAGGGUAACCUAGUAUGAGAUUGCAACAAUGGCGAAUAAAAGCAGGACCAUGCAACCCUUUUGUCAAGAUAUCUGCAGUCUGAUGGGUUUGAACAGAGAGCUAAAGCAGAAAGAUUGUCACAUUGCAACAAUGGUGGUUCAGACAUGAACUGAUGUAGAUCUUUUAACAGUAGUCGUAUCCAGACAAUAUCAGCUGCACAAUGUGCCAAGGCUUUAUAUUCUGCCUCUGUUGAACUUUUUGAGACUGAGGCUUGCUUCUUAGACUGCCACGAUAUAGGAUUGGACCCCAUGAAAACCACAAACCCAGUAACAGAUCUCCUUGUAUUCGGAUCGGCAGCCCAAUCAGAAUCUGAGAAAGCAGUUAAGGAUGUGUCCUAUGAUGCUGAAUAUGUAAUUCCACACUGCAAAGUACCUUGUAUAUACCUUAAGAUUCUUUUAA